CCCUACGGGACGCAGCAGUGGGGAAUAUUGCACAAUGGGGGAAACCCUGAUGCAGCGACGCCGCGUGGGUGAAGAAGGUCUUCGGAUCGUAAAACCCUGUUGUUAGAGAAGAAAGUGCGUGAGAGUAACUGUUCACGUUUCGACGGUAUCUAACCAGAAAGCCACGGCUAACUACGUGCCAGCAGCCGCGGUAAUACGUAGGUGGCAAGCGUUAUCCGGAUUUAUUGGGCGUAAAGGGAACGCAGGCGGUCUUUUAAGUCUGAUGUGAAAGCCUUCGGCUUAACCGGAGUAGUGCAUUGGAAACU
rnacentral:rRNA from 1 species